AUGAUGAGACUGGGGCUCAAAGAGAUGACAAAAUCAGUAGCUGAGAAACCCAGGGCCCCAUUUCUCAGCUUAAUGUUAUUUCUACUCCUUCUGCAGCCUGCUGUGGGUGUGCUUCAUCUGGGCCCAUUGUGUCCUGAGGGCUUCUGCUCUGGGCCAUCUGCCCUUCCCAUCUCAGUGUCUGCAGUGGAAGAUGCUCAUGUAGGAAUGUCGAAAAGCUGUUCUGAAAAACACAGCUCCUCCCUGUGCCAAACCAGUUGGGCUGGAAUGAACAACUGUUGUUGUAAAUCUCCACUCCGCCUCUUCAACAGCCCCAGAAGCCCGGUGUGCGGAUUCCAGGAACACAGAACCUUGGAGGAGCUGGAAGAAGAAGAGAACGAGAGCAGGCCCCAGCUUGGUGUUUUCCUUCUCUGGAAUGCAGAGCUUUCCUGUGCUGAGCCGGGUCCCAGCAGUGGCCUGGGUUGAGGCCAAGGAAACUGAAGAUUUUCUGUUUGGAGACGGUGAAUCUGACAGGUUCUGGAUUUGAGCAGACCUGGCAGAGCAGAAAAGUGAGAGUGAGGUGUCACAUUGCAAACAGAGAUCAAAUGAAAGUUGUUGUCCUCCACGGUGAGAACGCUGGCCCUCUUCCUUCACUUGGGUCUCAGAAAACUAACAACUAGCAUGAACUCUCCAGCAGAAGAUUAGUUGAUUCCUUUCUGAGGAAACCACCCAGCCCAAAUGAAAAGACUGCUCUCAUCCGUUCCUGUAAGAGCCCUGUGUUCUUGGAGCCCAAGCAACUGGCGUCCGGCAGGACCCAAGUGAGUGAGUCCGCUGAAGAGCUCUUGGUUCUCACCAUUCUGCAUAUCACCUGGGGAGCUUACAACCGACGUCCCACCUGUCCUUGAGGGUCCACCCACUCUGGGUUUCCCACUGCAUUUUGGGGAGGGUUCAAGACAAUUCAAUCUGAAUGUUAAAAAACGUGCAGAGUGCACUUGACACCUGGAUUAUACCUUUACGGAGAAAGCAGCCAAAUUUAAAAAGAGGAAUAUUUUUAAAAAUAAAUAAAAUUGCAGUCAUGUUAAGUGUACCCUA
rnacentral:lncRNA from 1 species